GCCUACGGCCAUACCACCCUGAGAACGCCCGAUCUCGUCUGAUCUCGGAAGCUAAGCAGGGUCGGGCCCGGUUAGUACUUGGAUGGGAGACCGCCUGGGAAUACCGGGUGCUGUAGGGU
rnacentral:rRNA from 1 species